rnacentral:rRNA from 1 species
AAUCAACGCUGGCGGCGUGCCUCAGACAUGCAAGUCGAACGAUUAAAGCUCUCUUCGGAGAGUGUAUAGAGUGGCGCACGGGUGAGUAACACGUAAGUAAUCUACCCUCGAGUGGGGAAUAACGUCCGGAAACGGACGCUAAUACCGCAUAAUGCAGCGGCACCGCAAGGUGACAGUUGUUAAAGGAGAAAUUCGCUUGAGGAGGAGCUUGCGGCAGAUAGCUUGUUGGUAAGGUAACGGCUUACCAAGGCUACGAUCUGUAACCGGUCUUAGAGGACGGUCGGUCACACUGACACUGAAUAACGGGUCAGACUCC